rnacentral:rRNA from 1 species
UACGUAGGUGGCGAGCGUUGUCCGGAUUUACUGGGCGUAAAGAGCGCGCAGGCGGUCGUACAAGUCGCGUGUGAAAGCCCCCCGGCUCAACUGGGGAGGGUCACGCGAUACUGUUCGACUCGAAGGCAGGAGAGGGUAGUGGAAUUCCCGGUGUAGUGGUGAAAUGCGUAGAUAUCGGGAGGAACACCAGUGGCGAAGGCGACUACCUGGCCUGUUCUUGACGCUGAGGCGCGAAAGCUAGGGUAGCAAACGGG